rnacentral:lncRNA from 1 species
UCCAUACUUGCUGGGAGAUUGAGUAAUUGGUGUCUGGAUGUGCGUGUGCUGCUUCCCAAAAUACCUCUUUAAAAAGACGUGAGAGGGAUGCGGAGCCAGUAGGGAUGGCAAAGCUCGCUAUCACGUGGAUCACCCAGACUCCCUCAUUUUACUGGUUCUUCACAGCACCCAGGAAGAUUUUAGAUGGACCUCAAAUACAAAGGCUGUGAGGAGCCCUAUUCGUUGUGUUGACACCACUGAGAGAUUAUUUUUUUCCCAGAGAAGAAAAAGGAGACACACCUGACUUUUAACCUCUUUGAUCCCUUAAAAAGUUAUUUUCCCAGCUGGGUGCAGUAGCUCCUGCCUGUAAUCCCAGCACUUUGGGAGGCCGAGGGUAAAGCAUUGGCUUCCGUAUCUUUCAAAUUGUCCCGAGUGAUUCUGAUCCACAGUGAAAACUGAAAACUGUUCUAAUAUUCACCUUGCCGGAAAAGUAAGACUAUGUGAAGUGAACCCUCCUUCAAAUUGGAGAAGGAAGCUUUGAGAUUUCCAGGGAAGAUGGAAGACAGAACAGCUUGAGCCAUUUGGGUGCGGUGUAGAACUGGAAAUUGUGUCAAGGUUGACUGAGCCCUGUUUCUGGUCUAAGAAAGUUAAAACUUGUAUUCAAAAUGGAUAUCAAGACAACAUAAAAUGAAAUGACUGAUUUUGAAGAUUGAGAAUUAGGAAUAUUGUACAGAUGCUGUCAUUCCUACAUGAAGGAGGCAGAAGAAUGUAGCAAGCUCAGCUCUCUAAUGCCAGGAGUGGCACUUUCAGUGACCAGAGCUCCCUGGGUCCUCUGUGUAUCCCUCCCCUGUCAACUGAUUCAACAGAGGCUGGGCUGGUCCUGGCAUUAGCACAUUUUUGAAUCUGCCUUUGGCUGUGACUUCACCCAAAGACAGAAAGGGGAAGUUUCUGGUCUACAUAGCCAACAUGUGGUCUUGAUAAUAAAUCAUUGCUUGUU